ensembl:lncRNA
UUUCACUGUGCCUUCAGUACAGUGCAUAUCAAGUGGCUUGUGCAUGAAUGGCACAGUCCAAGCAUCACUGUGCCUCUAAGAGAGUGCUGUAUCUCUUCUCACCCUCCUAUUUGCACUGAGAAAGAGAAGUGGUUUUUGGUAGUCCCCGAAGUAAUCCUUCAUCCGUGUGAAAGUGGAAUGCUAAAAGAACAAGUUGACAACAGCACCAGAAAAUAAGGUGAAAAUAUGUCACCAUUUAGUGAGUACAACCUGAUAACAGACCAACAUAACAGACCACGUGAGAGGAGAAAAAGCAGUCUUCAGCUGUGAGCUGUGUACGUACACCUCACUCAAGAGAUCGAGUCGGAACUGUCACAGGAAAAUCCAUUCUGAAGAAAAAUGUCACGUGUCUCAAGGCUUUUCAAACAGCUGCUCUCCUGCAGAACCACGUGAAUGUCCAUACAGCAGCGUGGUGUGCACAAGCAUCCUGAAAACUGUGGAUUGGUGAGGGCCAAAACUGCUACGCCCAGAAAAAGAAGCAAGGACAGAAGGAAAGAAAGUGAGAAUGAAAAGCAUGCUAAGCAAGAAGAUGUCUCUACUGUGAAGAGUGAACAUUGUGCCAGAGAGAUUGCUCCUCAUUUAGAAGGAACAGAGGGAACAGCUUUGAAAGCAGAAGACAGAAGCACCUUGUGAGAUGGCUGUGAUGGACUGACAUCUGAAGGUUAUUGGGAAGCUUCACCUCUUUUAUUCCAUUCACACAACAGAACGAAGAAAAUGAGCUAAAUUUGAAAGCUUGCUGUUGGUUGGACUUCUCAGCUUGUUGCCCAUCCUUCCCAACACCAGAUGUUAGGAAACAUGUGACAGCAGCAUGGUUUGGACUGAAUGUAGCAGCAUGGCUCAAUCAGUCAAUAAGGAAAGGAAGAACAAACACUCAUCAAAUUCAAUGUUGAUAUGGAUAUCUUUACUUGAAAUGGUGGUGAUGCUGCUGGAAUCUGCUGAGAAGCAUCGCCUUGAGGCUGACUCCUCCACACCUGUGGAGUGUCAGGGCCAACCAUUGCCCAUGCUGGUGAGCUUUGGGGAGGAGCAGGUCAGACAGAGCCACAGCACUCUAUUACAGAAGCCUCGUGACCAAGACAGAUGCCAGUAGCUGGAACCUUGGCAAACUAAAUAAAAAAGAAAAGAAGUGGAACUCUAUUCGUCUCUCAUGUACUGAUUGCUCCCUCGUGUGACACUUCUAAAUGUAAGUGAAAAGGAACAAGUCCUUCAUCCUACACCUCUGAAUUCUGGCACGGGUUUGGUUUGUGGUGUGACCUGUUGAGAAGCCUCCUGCUGGCUCUCCGUGUGCUGCAGUGUCCUUACCCAUGGCAUGCAGUCUCUGUAUGCUUUAGAAUUAAACAAAUGAGAAAGUUGUGCAGCUUAAACCCUCUUCCAAACCUCAGUAAUUGUCUUCCCCCCCCACCCAGUUUCAGAAAACACAAAUCCAUCCCAUGCUGCUCUCACAGUUACUGCUGGUUUAUAUCUGGGCAGAAGCAAUUGGUGCAAGAAGCAUUGCUUAUAGGACAGUGCCUAAAAAUACUUCCAAAGGUCACUGCACAUCAG